rnacentral:misc_RNA from 1 species
CUGAACUGUUAACACGAGUUGUUGCUGGUCCUCAAAUGGGGGCAUGUGCACGCUCUGUUUACACACCCACUCACACCUGUGCACCCUCUGUAGUUCUGUGGUGUGGAGGGCUCUGUCCUCCCACUGUGGUUCUAUGUUUUUACACACACACUGUGAUAAAGUCUUAUGGAAUGUAUCUCGCGUCUAACGCAAUACAAUA